CAAAAAAAAAAAAAGAUGAUUAUAGUGAGGAAAACAGAAGGGCAAGUUCCAAAUCUUUUUUGAUGAGGAGAAACAAAUCUUUGGUUGCAUGAAAACAGAAGAGCGUUUGUUUUUCUUUGGGUGAAGAUGGCACAUGAGCGGCACUACAUGCAGUACCAUCUUUUAUACAGCAAGUGCCUAUAUAAAUUUUGAGUUUUGGAUACUCUGUGUGUCAUCAUCUUCACCCCGUGCUCUCUCUCAACUUUCUGUCUGAUUUCUUUCUUCCUCUGCAAAUCUUACCUGCUUUGUUUCUUCAACUGGGUUUUUCUCUUGGAAGCUGCUUUUUUGGAAAGUGCUUUUUUAUUCUGGAGUUGGCUCUUCUGGUUGACUUAGAGAAAGAGAGGAAGUAAAAAAUGGAGAGUAACAAUAAGAAGCCGGGCAAUUCAGGUUCCUCAUUGACUGCUGAUCUUUUUGGUACCAAGGAAUCUCCUCCCAAGUCUUCUACUGGGAUUUUUGCUUCCAUUUUCCCACCUCCAUCACAGGUGGUUGGGAGGAACUCUUCAAUCUCUGAGCUGACAGAAUAUUGGCAGCAGCAGUCCUUGAGAAAUCAUGCACGGAACACCAAGCAAGGUACUGCAGUUUAUUGCCUCGGCCUUUGCCUUUUUCUCGAACUAUAUAGCUAUAAGUAGCGAAGGUGCACGCUAUAGCGUACCCAACAAGGACCGGAGUUCAGUCCUUCAGGAAGAAAGAGCAGAACCAUGUUAUCUAAGUUCAUCUAUUUACUAUGGUGGGCAAGAGGUGUAUUCCCAGUCCCCAAGGACCCAUGCCUCUGGAUCCUAUCCUAUAUUCAAGAAAGAUGCGGGAGAAGAUGAUCCAAAUGGAACCAACUCGAACAGUGCCGCCCGAGGAAAUUGGUGGCAAGGUUCGCUCUAUUAUUAGGACUUCCCCUUCACUGGCCAUAUGAAUUCUUCAUCUAUUUUCAAGGAAUUCACUAGGCCUGGGGUUUUAAGUAUGGAAGUGUAAUAUAAAUAAGUGGCUGAUGUGCGCAUUGGCUGCUAAAGACGCUGGACAGGAAGUGCAAGCUUUUAUGUCGGUAUGGUCAACUGUUCCAUUGGACUUUUUAUCAAGAAGAUGGUUUCCGAAAAUGUAAUGUUCUUACUACUCUCCGCCGAACUAUGUUUCUGUGUGUAGUUUGAAAGUUGUUUACCCUGUUAAAUUAAAGCCUGUGGAGGACUCACGGGCGAAUGAUAUGAGCCCGUUGCUCUUUCAUUGUGAACAUAUAUGCUUGAAGUGACUACGGUUUCUUAUGCAAUGUGUUUUGUAUUAUGAUGCGUUUACGGUUUGUU